rnacentral:rRNA from 1 species
GACGAACGCUGGCGGCGUGCUUAACACAUGCAAGUCGAGCGAGGCCCCUCCUUCGGGAGGGUGUCCUAGCGGCGAACGGGUGAGUAAAACGUGGGCAACCUGCCCUCAGCUCUGGGAUAACUCCGGGAAACCGGGGCUAAUACCGGAUACGACCUCCACGGGCAUCUGCGGAGGUGGAAAGUUUUUCGGCUGAGGAUGGGCCCGCGGCCUAUCAGCUAGUUGGUGGGGUAGUGGCCCACCAAGGCGACGACGGGUAGCCGGCCUGAGAGGGCGACCGGCCACACUGGGACUGAGACACGGCCCAGACUCCUACGGGAGGCAGCAGUGGGGAAUAUUGCGCAAUGGGCGAAAGCCUGACGCAGCGACGCCGCGUGAGGGACGAAGGCCUUCGGGUUGUAAACCUCUUUCAGCAGGGACGAAGCGAAAGUGACGGUACCUGCAGAAGAAGCACCGGCCAACUACGUG